GCUGAAGUUCGUCAGUCUGGAGCAGACAAUUUCUUUAGAGAUCAUUGUAUUUUCCUGAGUAGAACUGAUGUACUUGAAGCUUUAAUCAUGAUAGAACCCACCAUGAUAGAACUGAUGUACCUAAGCAGAUUUAUUAGAACCCACCAUACAUUUUAUUUCUAUAGAUUUAUUAGAACCCACCAUGAUAGAACUGACGUACCCGAGCAGACAAUGAGAGAGAUCUUGUCAUCUCUUCUCCUGGCACGAAGAACUUAAUCAUGGAGUGGAUUGAAGGUACACAAUUUCAGAUUUGUACCUGCAGAGGUGCGCUUAGUAACGAUAGUUCUUGGCUUCAUUUACCGGAACAUCGUUAGGUCCUUACAUGAUCCUUAUUUGAUCAAAUUUCUGGUUAGUACUUU
rnacentral:lncRNA from 1 species